rnacentral:tRNA from 1 species
AAAGGGAGACCUAAUUCCGGUAGGAGACGAAAAAAAAGUAGUCCCAACCAAGAAUCAAUCCCAAAAGGUCGGAGCGAGGCGAAAUUGGCUUUCAAACUAGGUUCUGGGUUCACAGAAGACCUGAAUCAGGAACAAGGGCUAUUAGCUCAGGUGGUUAGAGCGCACCCCUGAUAAGGGUGAGGUCCCUGGUUCGAGUCCAGGAUGGCCCACCUGCACAGGUGGCAAAAACAAGAGAAGCGAGGAAUCAGCACCUUAUCUUGUAUACAUAUAUAAGAGAGAAUGCUGGCUCUGAGUACAGAGUCCAGAGGAACCUUGAAAACUGCAUAGAGCUAGGUGAAAAAGCCAAAAAAGAAGACCGCAAG